CAACAGGGAUUGCCCUAGUAACGGCGAGUGAAGCGGCAACAGCUCAAAUUUGAAAUCUGGCUCUUUCAGAGUCCGAGUUGUAAUUUGCAGAGGGCGCUUUGGCUUUGGCAGCGGUCCAAGUUCCUUGGAACAGGACGUCACAGAGGGUGAGAAUCCCGUACGUGGUCGCUAGCUAUUGCCGUGUAAAGCCCCUUCGACGAGUCGAGUUGUUUGGGAAUGCAGCUCUAAAUGGGAGGUAAAUUUCUUCUAAAGCUAAAUAUUGGCCAGAGACCGAUAGCGCACAAGUAGAGUGAUCGAAAGAUGAAAAGCACUUUGGAAAGAGAGUCAAACAGCACGUGAAAUUGUUGAAAGGGAAGCGCUUGCAGCCAGACUUGCUUGCAGUUGCUCAUCCGGGCUUUUGCCCGGUGCACUCUUCUGUAGGCAGGCCAGCAUCAGUUUGGGCGGUGGGAUAAAGGUCUCUGUCACGUACCUCUCUUCGGGGAGGCCUUAUAGGGGAGACGACAUACCACCAGCCUAGACUGAGGUCCGCGCAUCUGCUAGGAUGCUGGCGUAAUGGCUGUAAGCGGCCCGUCUUGAAACACGGACCAAGGAGUCUAACAUCUAUGCGAGUGUUUGGGUGUCAAGCCCGAGCGCGUAAUGAAAGUGAACGGAGGUGGGAACCCGCAAGGGUGCACCAUCGACCGAUCCUGAAGUUUACGGAAGGAUUUGAGUAAGAGCAUGGCUGUUGGGACCCGAAAGAUGGUGAACUAUGCUUGAAUAGGGUGAAGCCAGAGGAAACUCUGGUGGAGGCUCGCAGCGGUUCUGACGUGCAAAUCGAUCGUCAAAUUUGGGCAUAGGGGCGAAAGACUAAUCGAA
rnacentral:rRNA from 1 species